rnacentral:rRNA from 1 species
AACGAACGCUGGCGGCAGGCUUAACACAUGCAAGUCGAACGCCCCGCAAGGGGAGUGGCAGACGGGUGAGUAACGCGUGGGAAUCUACCGUACCCUACGGAAUAACGCAUGGAAACGUGUGCUAAUACCGUAUACGCCCUACGGGGGGAAAGAUUCAUCGGGGUAUGAUGAGCCCGCGUUGGAUUAGCUAGUUGGUGGGGUAAAGGCCUACCAAGGCGACGAUCCAUAGCUGGUCUGAGAGGAUGAUCAGCCACAUUGGGACUGAGACACGGCCCAAACUCCUACGGGAGGCAGCGGUGGGGAAUAUUGGACGAUGGGCGCAAGCCUGAUCCAGCCAUGCCGCGUGAGUGAUGAAGGCCUUAGGGUUGUAAAGCUCUUUCACCGGUGAAGAUAAUGACGGUAACCGGAGAAGAAGCCCCGGCUAACUUCGUGCCAGCAGCCGCAGUAACAC